rnacentral:rRNA from 1 species
GUAGGUGGCAAGCGUUGUCCGGAAUUAUUGGGCGUAAAGCGCGCGCAGGCGGUUUUUUAAGUCUGAUGUGAAAGCCCACGGCUCAACCGUGGAGGGUCAUUGGAAACUGGAGAACUUGAGUACAGAAGAGGAAAGCGGAAUUCCACGUGUAGCGGUGAAAUGCGUAGAGAUGUGGAGGAACACCAGUGGCGAAGGCGGCUUUCUGGUCUGUAACUGACGCUGAGGCGCGAAAGCGUGGGGAGCAAACAGGGAUUAGAUACCCUGGUAGUCCACGCCGUAAACGAUGAGUGCUAAGUGUUAGGGGGUUUCCCGCCCCUUAGUGCUGCAGCUAACGCAUUAAGCACUCCGCCUGGGGAGUACGGCCGCAAGGCUA